UACGUAGGGGGGCGAGCGUUGUCCGGAAUCAUUGGGUGUAAAGAGCGUGUAGGCGGCCAGGUAGGUCGGUUGUGAAAACUGGAGGCUCAACCUUCAGAGGUCGACCGAAACCAUCUGGGCUAGAGUCCGGGAGAGGAGAGUGGAAUUCCCUGGUGUAGCGGUGAAAUGCGCAGAUAUCAGGAAGAACACCCGUGGCGAAAGCGGCUCUCUGGAACGGUACUGACGCUGAGACGCGAAAGCGUGGGGAGCGAACAGG
rnacentral:rRNA from 1 species